CUCAGUAACACGUGGUCAAGCUAACCUAUGGACGUGGAUAACCUCGGGAAACUGAGAAUAAACCGCGAUAGAUCAUGAUGCCUGGAAUGGCUCAUGGUCGAAAUAGUUUACUGCCGUAGGAUGCGACUGCGGCCUAUCAGUUUGUUGGUGAGGUAAUGGCCCACCAAGACUAUUACAGGUACGGGCUCUGAGAGGAGAAGCCCGGAGAUGGGUACUGAGACACGGACCCAGGCCCUAUGGGGCGCAGCAGGCGAGAAACCUUAGCAAUGUGCGAAAGCACGACUGGGUUAGUCCGAGUGAUUCCUGCUAAAGGAAUCUUUUGCCGGUCCUAAAAGCACCGGUGAAUAAGGGGUGGGCAAGUCUGGUGUCAGCCGCCGCGGUAAUACCAGCACCUCGAGUGAUCAGGACGUUUAUUGGGCCUAAAGCAUCCGUAGCUGGCUUUGCAAGUCUCCGGUUAAAUCAACCUGCUCAACAGAUUGGCCGCUGGAGAUACUACAAGGCUAGGGAGUGGGAGAGGCAGACGGUAUUCAGUGGGUAGGGGUAAAAUCCUCUG
rnacentral:rRNA from 1 species